GACGAACGCGGCGGCGUGCUUAAACANUGCAAGCCGAACGAGGUCCAACCUUCGGGUGAAGACCUAGUGGCGAACGGGUGCGUAACACGUGAGGAACUUGUCCCGGUCUCUGGGAUAACAGUUGGAAACGACUGCUAAUACCGGAUGACGUCGGAGCGUCGCAUGGCGCGCUGACGAAAGGGUUACUGGAUCGGGAGAGCCUCGCGGCCUAUCAGCUUGUUGGUGGGGUAACGGCCUACCAAGGCAUCGACGGGUAGCUGGUCUGAGAGGAUGAUCAGCCACACUGGGACUGAGACACGGCCCAGACUCCUACGGGAGGCAGCAGUGGGGAAUCUUGCGCAAUGGGCGAAAGCCUGACGCAGCAACGCCGCGUGCGGGAAGAAGGCUCUCGGGUUGUAAACCGCUUUCAGAAGGAACGAAACUGACGGUACUUUCAGAAGAAGGUGCGGCCAACUACGUGCCAGCAGCCGCGGUGACACGUAGGCACCAAGCGUUGUCCGGAUUUAUUGGGCGUAAAGAGCUCGUAGGCGGUUCAGUAAGUCAGGCGUGAAAUCUUUGGGCUUAACCCAAAGCGUGCGUUUGAUACUGCUGUGACUUGAGUUCGGUAGGGGAGCGGGGAAUUCCUAGUGUAGCGGUGAAAUGCGCAGAUAUUAGGAGGAACACCGGUGGCGAAGGCGCCGCUCUGGGCCGAAACUGACGCUGAGGAGCGAAAGCGUGGGUAG
rnacentral:rRNA from 1 species